rnacentral:rRNA from 1 species
AGAGUUUGAUCAUGGCUCAGGAUGAACGCUAGCGGCAGGCUUAACACAUGCAAGUCGAGGGGUAGAAGAGAGCUUGCUCUCUUUGAGACCGGCAAACGGGUGCGGAACACGUACGCAAUCUGCCCUUAUCUUGGGGAUAGCCCAUAGAAAUGUGGAUUAAUACCCAAUAGUAUAGAAUGGUGGCAUCACCAGAUUAUUAAAGAACUUCGGAUAAGGAUGAGCGUGCGUCUGAUUAGCUAGUUGGCGGGGUAACGGCCCACCAAGGCGACGAUGCGUAGCCGACCUGAGAGGGUGACCGGCCACACUGGGACUGAGACACGGCCCAGACUCCUACGGGAGGCAGCAGUGGGGAAUAUUGCGCAAUGGGCGAAAGCCUGACGCAGCGACGCCGCGUGAGGGAUGACGGCCUUCGGGUUGUAAACCUCUUUCAGCAGGGACGAAGCGAAAGUGACGGUACCUGCAGAAGAAGCACCGGCCAACCACGUGCCAGCCGCCGCGGUAAUAC